UUUUUUUUUUUUUUUCACUCAACAUACUGCCCUUGAGAUCCAUUCAAGUUGUGUAUGUCAAUGUUGACUCCUGUUUGUUUCUGAGUAGUACCCCAUUUUAUGGGAGUAUCAUAGUUUGUUUAUCCAUUCACCCCUGAAGGACAUUUGAGUUAUUUCUACCUUUUGGCUCUUAAAAAUAAAGCUGGUAUGAAUGUUCAUCUGGAGGUUUUUGGGAGAACAUGAAUUUUCAUUUCUCUAUGAUUGGUACCCAGGUAAUUGAUGGGUCAUAUGUUUUAUAGUGGAAAUAACUGAUUAACAACUAAAUAUAUAUCUUAAAAUGACCACAUGAAAAGAUCAAAACUAUGCAAGGUCAGAUUAAUUAUAUUUUUAAAUAAUCCAGGGGGAAAUAAAAAUAUAAUAGAAAUUAAAAGAAACUUACAAAUGUACAUGUUAAAAUACAUAAUUUUUUUCUUCCACUUGGUUUAAAUAAUGAUAUAGUUCUUACCUCUCCUUCACAGGUCAUUAAAACACUACAUCAAGGGCAAUGUGAUGGACCCUUGUGGUGAUGAAAUUGCUUCGUACCUUGACUGUAAGGGUGUAUAUAUGAACCUCUGCGUAUGUAAAAUUCUGUGAAACUACACAGACACAGACACACACACUCACACACACACACACGCACAAGUGCAUAUAAAACUAGGAAAAUCUGAACAAGGUUGAAGGGUCAUAUCACUAUUAAUAUGUUGGUUUUGAUAUUAUAGGCAAGAUAUUGCCAUUGGGGGAAACUGAAUCAAGAGUACUCUGUCUCUAUAUUAUUUCUUACAAAUGCAGAAGCAGCUACGGUUAUUUCAAAAAUAGGAAGUUUAAUUUGAAAAACCACAUCAACCAUUUGCUCUAUUUCUGGGACUUGCCACCAACCUGUAGACUUUAUAUAAUCUUUGCAUUUUCAGCGUGUAUGUAGUUCAGUCAAAAAGCUCAUUGCCUAUCCUGAAACAGUUUUUUGAGUAACUGCACAAUAAUCUGCAUGAUCAAAGCAUACUAAACAACCUAUGACUCAGAAAUAUGACACUCUACCACUUCUUUUGGUUCACUCUUUUUAAAAAUGCAUGAUAGCAUCUUCAGGAAACUCUGUCAUUGACCUCUCCAAUUCUUUAGAUGCCAAGCUACAGGGUUCUGCUUGAGUGGGUUCUGCCCUGAAAAGUGUGUUUGCUUUGAAGAAAUUCUAUUUUUACUUGUCUAAUAGGUAAUUCUUUAUGUCGGGAAAUGAGGUCAAGUAAACACUCAGCCACAGUCCAGACUUAUAGCUAUAGGUACUGAGAACUGUUUAGAACCUAGCCUGAUUUAGAAUAGUUUUUGAAAACCCCAGAAUGAAAUGACCCAGUUACUCUGGUUUCUACUUUAUCUUCAAAGGCACCAUCUUUUGAAUUGUCCCUGACUGAGAAAUAUGCUAGUUAUGAGCUUUAUAAGGGUGCCAAGCCUGUUUUGUUCAUAAAGAGUUUCUCCCUGCCAUAUAUCCAGCCGAACCUUAUAAUUAUAGCCAGAGCCUUGCUCACCAUGGUGACUGUGGCCGGUGCUAUCAGAUAUUAAAUCUAUUGAUCUUGAGUCUAGAGUUCAUCUCAGAGAGUUUUCAAAUGGCCCAUGCAGUCUCUUUUCCCGGGUGUGAAGCACAUCUUAGCUCCUUGUGUGCUUUUAAAGGCUCAUCUUAUGUCUUGGUACAACGUAUUCUUUUGAUUUGCUGGUGAUUUUGUCACUCCCCAUGGACAGAUGCAAACUAGAGGACAAAAGGAGGGAAAGAGGUCCAAGGAAUGUAGAAUUCUUGCUUUUCAAAUCACCUUCCUAAUACUUCAUUGCCUUCAUAUGCAGGUCAUAUCCCGAGCUUGUCUACUCUUGGAAUGAGAGCCAACUUUUUUAUUUCUCUCAGGUUGUAUUGGGAAGAUGGUGGGCUCUUGGAACGGAGAGUACCCCAUUAAAAAGAGCUACCUUUAAGCCUAUAGUGAAUAAUUCCUAUGAAGCUGCUUAGUCUAUCUUAGGCUACAAUAGUCAAUAGUCUAUCUUAGGCUACAAUAGUUUGAAAUAUGGGAGAGAUUUAACUAUUACUCUAUUAUUAUUACUAUUACUCUACUAUUACUCAUCAUAUUAUCAUGUCAUGCUAUAAUAUAAUACUUGAAAAUAUAAACAUAUAAUAAAUACAUAAAAAUAACAUGAAAAUAUAAACAUUUAAGACAUCACAGAAAAAGUCAGGAGACCUGGGACUAUUUAUGGGCUUCACAUUAUUUAAUUACUUACUGGUUGUAUUGCUUAACCCCUCUUUGCCCCAAUUUUCUCUUCUGCAGAUGGUUAUUAACUAUAAUAAUGCUAUCUCAUAGGUAAUUUUGGUAAAAUAAAAAGAGGAUGUUUAACUGAAGCUCACUACUCAUGAGAAAGGGAAGAAUAAUACUAGAAGUUAUUAAAACCUAAGUAUAGGGAUCCCUGGGUGGCGCAGAGGUUUGGCGCCUGCCUUUGGCCCAGGGCACGAUCCUGGAGACCCGGGAUCGAAUCCCACGUGGGGCUCCCGGUGCAUGGAGCCUGCUUCUCCCUCUGCCUAUGUCUCUGCGCCUCUCUCUCUCUCUCUGUGUGCUAUCAUAAAUAAAUAAAAAUUAAAAAAAAAA
rnacentral:lncRNA from 1 species